CCGGUCCAGCGGCGCAGGUGUCCCCUGGGCAGCGCCCUUGAAGUCGGCGACAUUCCCAGUUCCACCCUUGCUCUCUGCACUGGCAAUGGCUUGUGGGAAAUUCUGUGGCUUCGGGAAAGAUUUGUGCUCCUCGGGCAGGAUGUGCAGUGCUGUGUUUGUCAGCACCUGCUUCUUGGUAAUCUUUAAGGACACCACCAACAGCCCCAGGGUGGUCACAGCUGACUCCUGAGUAUCCUGCUCGCUUUGACUGCAGAUGGGAAAAACACUCCACAACUCUUUUAACUACAUGGACUUUCAUAAAGAACAUGUGAGUACUUACUCAUCUUAGAACCUAUAAAGAAUCAUGACACUAAAGAGAAAUAUUAACACACACACACACACUAUUGUUAAGGGUUAAGAAUAAGUCUAAUUAUUAUGGUAAAUCUAUUAAUAUCACAAAUUUCACAUUACUAAUGUUAAGAGG